AUAUCUCAAUAAAUUUUAUAAUAUUCAAUAAGCCUUACAUUAAAUUCAAUAAGACUUUCAGUCUAAAUAAAAGUAUGAAAGUUCUGCUUCUAAUCAUUCUUCCGUUCCUAUCUUGUAUCAUCUUAAUUCCUCAACAUCUGUAAAAAUAGUAAAAUAAGAGAUAAUGAGCUAGAUAGCCCAGUGAGCAAUGAUCACUUUCAAUAUAUUUUAUUAGGUAUUAAAGUAAAUAAUUAUUUAUAAAAAAUAAUGCAUAUAAAGUUCAUCA
rnacentral:lncRNA from 1 species